GAAAAAUGGGGUCCAAGUUGGAUUCGAUUCAAGUCCGAAACAGUCAAUUCUCCGCAUUCAUCGACUCGUUCACCCAGAACACUUAUGUUAUGGUAAAAUCUCAAAUAAAAUGUAUUUUAAAACACUAUUUUAUUUUGUUCAGAUCGUGAUACCCGACGGCAACGCAUCGGCUCCAAUGAUCACAAUGAACGUGAAGAACGCGAGGAAGGUGUUCGAGGCGAUCGAGACGAAAAGCUAGACGAAUUUGAAUAUUUCACCGAGUUCUUGCCCCGCAUUCCAGUUAUUUUCGUUUAGUUACCAUCCCAUAUCCCAUGUUGCUGUAUUAUAAUGCUAAACUGAUUUAUUUAAAUCCAACUGCAAAAUU
rnacentral:sRNA from 1 species